UGUGACUUUGCUCUACUUAUAUUGUUUAAUACGUACUGAUGAAUUCAGCAGCGAAUUCGCUAAUGCUGCUAAUGCUUUUUACAUUUUUUUUUCACAAUGAACAGUCUUCUUUGUGUAGUUUUCAUUAUAUUGCACUCUUAUUUUUCAUUAUGUACAUGCCUGCAAUUCGCAGCUCGCUGUUUUUGUUGUUGUAUGGUAUUGUUGUUUUGCCUUCAUUUGUUUUGUCUGGUCCUUUGUAGUUUGAAUGUUGUCACAUGAUCCAAAUAGGACAAGCUGCAAGAUCACCACCCCAUUGGGAAGAAACUAAAUCACGACCCCCAAAUGGUAGUCUUCCCAUGCAGAUACAAGGAUGUCACACAGAUCCAAAUGGAAACAUCGAACACUGUAAAACCCACUGUGCAGACAGGACCAAUGGUGACAAUAUAAGACCAUGCCGAGCUUCAUGGACGGUUCAAACUCAUCCUGCCCAGGAACGGCUGGUAUGUUUUAUGUCUGAGACAAAUGUUGUGCUCAGUGGAAAUCUGGAUAGGCUUAUUAUUCCUUAUAUUAGUUAACAAUUGGACAUAAUUGAUUAUUUACUCUUUGUUUAUUUAACCAAUCAACAUUCUCAUUAGCUUAUGCAAAUCUUGAAUAUAAAGAGGCCAGAAAUGGUGUUGAUUGUCUAAAAAAAGAAAGUUUGAUUGACACGUGCUGACUUUUGGAACGUUGGCCUGAACAAUGAAAUGGAAUCAACUGUGAAUUUUGAGGAUUUAGUUUCUCUAAAGAACAUAAUGUCACUUGUACAAUUAAGUAAAAUGUAACUUUUUGUUUUUGUUUUUUUGCAGAUAUGAAAUGCAUAUUUAUAACUUGUCUAACAAGUAGCUCAUUCAAAGGUAUAAAAAAGUAUUUUUUUGGCGUGUGUAGGGUAUUAUUUUAACUAUGUAGCCUACAGAAUGCUUGUAUGGGCUCAUGUAGGUGUCUGCGUACGUUUGUAUUUAUAUAACAUAUGUCCGUGUGUAUAGAUUAUGUAUUUUUCAGGGAAGGACCAUAUUUGUGGCUGACCCCUAUGUUGUUGCAACAUGGUGAAAGCCUACAGGAUGUGACCCACACAUGCAUCUGCCUGUAAGGCUGAUUAGUAACAACUACAACUUGGAGCAUUGGGGGGGGGGGGGAUCAAUGCAGUAGGAGUUCCCAAGCAUCCUGCAGAUGGAAGAGGAUGAGCACGAACUACAAUGUCUUGGAGCCAUUCAAGUUCUGUUUCAACCAUCUGGAAGAUGGAUUUACCUUUUUUGAGGAGAUUGUUGACCAAAGAAAAUAUCUGGUAUUCUCUCAAUAAUAAUAAAAAAAUAAUAAAAAUAAAGUUUACCAUAUUAGAACUGGUUGUAUUGAGUUCAUUUUUCUACACUUAUAAAUUAGUUGUUUUUUUUCUUUUAUCCCAGAUGUUAGUUGUAGGUAGUUUUAAUUACCUGUGAUGA